AACGAACGCUGGCGGCAUGCCUAACACAUGCAAGUCGAACGAGACCUUCGGGUCUAGUGGCGCAAGGGUGCGUAACGCGUGGGAACCUGCCCUUAGGUUCGGAAUAACUCCCCGAAAGGGGUGCUAAUACCGGAUAAUGUCUUCGGACCAAAGAUUUAUCGCCUUUGGAUGGGCCCGCGUUGGAUUAGCUAGUUGGUAGGGUAAAAGCCUACCAAGGCGACGAUCCAUAGCUGGUCUGAGAGGAUGAUCAGCCACACUGGGACUGAGACACGGCCCAGACUCCUACGGGAGGCAGCAGUGGGGAAUAUUGGACAAUGGGCGGAAGCCUGAUCCAGCAAUGCCGCGUGAGUGAUGAAGGCCUUAGGGUUGUAAAGCUCUUUUACCCGGGAUGAUAAUGACAGUACCGGGAGAAUAAGCUCCGGCUAACUCCGUG
rnacentral:rRNA from 1 species